ACCUACGGGGGGCAGCAGUGAGGAAUAUUGGUCAAUGGUCGGGAGACUGAACCAGCCAAGCCGCGUGAGGGAUGAAGGUACAGAGUAUCGUAAACCUCUUUUGUCAGGGAACAAAGGCGGGGACGCGUCCCCGGAUGAGUGUACCUGAAGAAAAAGCAUCGGCUAACUCCGUGCCAGCAGCCGCGGUAAUACGGAGGAUGCGAGCGUUAUCCGGAUUUAUUGGGUUUAAAGGGUGCGCAGGCGGAGGUGCAAGUCAGCGGUCAAAUUGCGGGGCUCAACCCCGGACUGCCGUUGAAACUGCAUCC
rnacentral:rRNA from 1 species